ACACAGGGAAGGAGGUGGUCCGCGAAAUUGAGUACGUUCUGGACAUGUGAGGUGGCUGUCCGCUAAGCAGCGCCAGGGAAUCACCCGCGCGCGCUGGCGAAUUCCCGGCAGUCACCCGACCCCCGAGCCUCCGGUCUUGUCCAACCAGGAACUACGGCUCGGGGGUCGCGCCAU
rnacentral:sRNA from 1 species